rnacentral:rRNA from 1 species
GAUGAACGCUGGCGGCGUGCCUAAUACAUGCAAGUCGAGCGAACAGACGAGGAGCUUGCUCCUCUGACGUUAGCGGCGGACGGGUGAGUAACACGUGGAUAACCUACCUAUAAGACUGGGAUAACUUCGGGAAACCGGAGCUAAUACCGGAUAAUAUAUUGAACCUCAUGGUUCAAUAGUGAAAGACGGUUUUGCUGUCACUUAUAGAUGGAUCCGCGCCGCAUUAGCUAGUUGGUAAGGUAACGGCUUACCAAGGCAACGAUGCGUAGCCGACCUGAGAGGGUGAUCGGCCACACUGGAACUGAGACACGGUCCAGACUCCUACGGGAGGCAGCAGUAGGGAAUCUUCCGCAAUGGGCGAAAGCCUGACGGAGCAACGCCGCGUGAGUGAUGAAGGUCUUCGGAUCGUAAAACUCUGUUAUUAGGGAAGAACAAAUGUGUAAGUACCUAUGCACGUCUUGACGGUACCUAAUCAGAAAGCCACGGCUAACUACGUG